rnacentral:rRNA from 1 species
UGGGGAAUAUUGGACAAUGGGCGAAAGCCUGAUCCAGCCAUGCCGCGUGUGUGAAGAAGGUCUUCGGAUUGUAAAGCACUUUAAGUUGGGAGGAAGGGCAGUAAGUUAAUACCUUGCUGUUUUGACGUUACCGACAGAAUAAGCACCGGCUAACUCUGUGCCAGCAGCCGCGGUAAUACAGAGGGUGCAAGCGUUAAUCGGAAUUACUGGGCGUAAAGCGCGCGUAGGUGGUUUGUUAAGUUGGAUGUGAAAUCCCCGGGCUCAACCUGGGAACUGCAUUCAAAACUGACAAGCUAGAGUAUGGUAGAGGGUGUGGAAUUUCCUGUGUAGCGGUGAAAUGCGUAGAUAUAGGAAGGAACACCAGUGGCGAAGGCGACCACCUGGACUGAUACUGACACUGAGGUGCGAAAGCGUGGGGAGCAAACAGGAUUAGAUACCCGUGUAGUCCCUGAGCGGGCUGGCAAGGCGCAU